rnacentral:rRNA from 1 species
CUAAUACAUGCUAAAAACCCCGACUUCGGAAGGGGUGUAUUUAUUAGAUAAAAAACCAAUGCCCUCCGGGGCUCCUUGGUGAUUCAUAAUAACUUAACGAAUCGCAUGGCCUUGCGCCGGCGAUGGUUCAUUCAAAUUUCUGCCCUAUCAACUUUCGAUGGUAGGAUAGUGGCCUACCAUGGUUUCAACGGGUAACGGGGUUAACUCUAGCUCCCUACAGCGAGCUGCGCUUGCUAGUCUUCACCGAAGGCGACACGCUAAACUUGCGGAAAUCCCCUACGCUGGUAGGGAAAUCCGCAGCCCUCCAUCCUAUGGUCGGUUCAGAGACUCAAUGAGCGUGGGUUCAGGCGCACAGGCGGCCUAGACUUAAGAUAGAGCCCGACCUCGCUGGCGACAGCGGGGAGCGAUCGAUUAGGGUACUAUACCGGAGAGGGAGCCUGAGAAACGGCUACCACAUCCAAGGAAGGCAGCAGGCGCGCAAAUUACCCAAUCCCGACACGGGGAGGUAGUGACAAUAAAUACUGAUACAGGGCUCUUUUGGGUCUUGUAAUUGGAAUGAGUACAAUUUAAAUCCCUUAACGAGGAACAAUUGGAGGGCAAGUCUGGUGAAGCUUCAGCUCUGCUGACGCCAGCGAGAGCGCUGCCUCAGCGCUAGUCUCCUCCGGAGGCGACACACCCACUCUGCGGGAAGCUCUCUUAGGAGGCGAUCCGCAGCCCCUACCCGGGGUUCAGAGGCUCAAUAGGUGUGGGCACCGGCGGUGCUUAAGAGAGAGUCCGUUCAGCGCUGCGAUGCGCUGAAAGCAACGGCCAGCAGCCGCGGUAAUUCCAGCUCCAAUAGCGUAUAUUAAAGUUGUUGCAGUUAAAAAGCUCGUAGUUGAACCUUGGGCCUGGCUGGCCGGUCCGCCUCACCGCGUGCACUGGUCCGGCCGGGCCUUUCCUUCUGGGGAGCCGCAUGCCCUUCACUGGGUGUGUCGGGGAGCCAGGACUUUUACUUUGAAAAAAUUAGAGUGUUCAAAGCAGGCCUAUGCUCGAAUACAUUAGCAUGGAAUAAUAGAAUAGGACGUUGCGGUUCUAUUUUGUUGGUUUCUAGGACCGCCGUAAUGAUUAAUAGGGAUAGUCGGGGGCGUCAGUAUUCCGUUGUCAGAGGUGAAAUUCUUGGAUUUACGGAAGACUAACUACUGCGAAAGCAUUCGCCAAGGAUGUUUUCAUUAAUCAGUGAACGAAAGUUAGGGGAUCGAAGACGAUUUGAGGGUUCUGGUCGUCUACAGCGCGCGCUGGCGUGCUAAUCUCUGCCCGCAGAGGUGACACCGACAAACUGUGGGAACAGCCGCUCGCGGUUGAUCCGCAGCCUCCCCCGCCGGGGGAGGUUCACAGACUGAAUACCGGUGGGUUGCUCGCAGCAGCCUAAGAUACAGUCGAUUCCGCCCUGGAAGGGGCGGAGGUAAAUGCAGAUACCGUCGUAGUCUUAACCAUAAACUAUGCCGACUAGGGAUCGGGCGAUGUUAUCUUUUUGACUCGCUCGGCACCUUACGAGAAAUCAAAGUCUUUGGGUUCUGGGGGGAGUAUGGUCGCAAGGCUGAAACUUAAAGAAAUUGACGGAAGGGCACCACCAGGAGUUAAGGCAUCAGCUCCUCACAGCUUCCCUGAAGCUAGUCUUUACGAAGGCGACACGCGCAAUUUGCGGGAAGGCCCUCUCGCGGGGGACAUCCGCAGUGGCCGGCACGGUCAUUCAGAGACUCGAUACGCGUGGGUUCAGCCUAGCUGAGCUUAAGAUAGAGCCCGUCCUCGCUGGCAACAGCGGGGAGCACACGGGAGCCUGCGGCUUAAUUUGACUCAACACGGGGAAACUCACCAGGUCCAGACACAAUAAGGAUUGACAGAUUGAGAGCUCUUUCUUGAUUUUGUGGGUGGUAGACGCUAUGCAUUGCCACCGACAGCUGCGCUCCGGCGCAGCUAGUGGGCCCUCCGCGGCCUGCGAGACUUCCAAUUUGCUGGGAAAUGGCGGGCUCCGGCCCGGUCAUCAGCAGUCUCCCCGGGGAGAUUCACAGACUAAAUAGAAGUCGAUCGCUGGCAGCAGCGGUUUGAGAUAUAGUCGAGCGUCACCC